rnacentral:rRNA from 1 species
UACGUAGCAGCGAGCGUUGUUCGGAGUUACUGGGCGUAAAGGGUGCGUAGGCGGCGCGGUAAGUCGGGUGUGAAAUCUCGGGGCUUAACUCCGAAACUGCAUUCGAUACUGCCGUGCUUGAGGACUGGAGAGGAGACUGGAAUUUACGGUGUAGCGGUGAAAUGCGUAGAUAUCGUAAGGAAGACCAGUGGCGAAGGCGGGUCUCUGGACAGUUCCUGACGCUGAGGCACGAAGGCCAGGGGAGCAAACGGG